rnacentral:rRNA from 1 species
GUGGAUCCUGUGAACUGCAGGACACAUGAACACCGACAAGUUGAACGCAUAUUGCACAUCGUACUCCAGUACGAUGUACACAUUUUUGAGUGCCUAUAUUUACCGAUUCAACUAUACGUGCGUGCGCGCGCGGGGUCCAACUAACGGGUGGACAAGCGCACGGCCCAUGGCACGUAUGCGUAGUGAUGUUUUCCCUUCGGCUCCGGCCACGCGGUAAAACAUUGAAGAUAGUCAGCCGCGUCCACACCGACCGAGGCUGAUGAAUACAUCCCCUAGGCCCCCCCCGUUGGCUAUGUUGUAUUCCAUCCCCGACGAUCGGCGUACCCAGUAGGCCUCAAAUAAUGUGUGACUACCCCCUAAAUUUAAUCAUAUCGACAC